rnacentral:rRNA from 1 species
UGGGGAAUUUUCUGCAAUGGGCGAAAGCCUGACGGAGCAAUGCCGCGUGGAGGUGGAAGGCCUACGGGUCGUCAACUUCUUUUCUCGGAGAAGAAACAAUGACGGUAUCUGAGGAAUAAGCAUCGGCUAACUCUGCGCCAG